GACGAACGCUGGCGGCGUGCCUAAUACAUGCAAGUAGAACGCUGAAGAGAGGAGCUUGCUCUUCUUGGAUGAGUUGCGAACGGGUGAGUAACGCGUAGGUAACCUGCCUUGUAGCGGGGGAUAACUAUUGGAAACGAUAGCUAAUACCGCAUAACAAUGGAUGACACAUGUCAUUUAUUUGAAAGGGGCAAUUGCUCCACUACAAGAUGGACCUGCGUUGUAUUAGCUAGUAGGUGAGGUAAUGGCUCACCUAGGCGACGAUACAUAGCCGACCUGAGAGGGUGAUCGGCCACACUGGGACUGAGACACGGCCCAGACUCCCACGGGAGGCAGCAGUAGGGAAUCUUCGGCAAUGGGGGCAACCCUGACCGAGCAACGCCGCGUGAGUGAAGAAGGUUUUCGGAUCGUAAAGCUCUGUUGUAAGUCAAGAACGGGUGUGAGAGUGGAAAGUUCACACUGUGACGGUAGCUUACCAGAAAGGGACGGCUAGCUACGUG
rnacentral:rRNA from 1 species